rnacentral:rRNA from 1 species
UACGGGGGGGGCAAGCGUUGUUCGGAAUUACUGGGCGUAAAGGGCUCGUAGGUGGCCAACUAAGUCAGACGUGAAAUCCCUCAGCUUAACUGGGGAACUGCGUCUGAUACUGGAUGGCUUGAGUUUGGGAGAGGGAUGCGGAAUUCCAGGUGUAGCGGUGAAAUGCGUAGAUAUCUGGAGGAACACCGGUGGCGAAGGCGGCAUCCUGGACCAUGACUGACGCUGAGGAGCGAAAGCCAGGGGAGCAAACGGG